rnacentral:rRNA from 1 species
GUGCAAGCGUUGUCCGGAAUUAUUGGGCGUAAAGAGCUCGUAGGCGGUUUGUCGCGUCUGCUGUGAAAACUGGGGGCUCAACCCCCAGCCUGCAGUGGGUACGGGCAGACUAGAGUGCGGUAGGGGAGAUUGGAAUUCCUGGUGUAGCGGUGGAAUGCGCAGAUAUCAGGAGGAACACCGAUGGCGAAGGCAGAUCUCUGGGCCGUAACUGACGCUGAGGAGCGAAAGCAUGGGGAGCGAACAGG